rnacentral:ncRNA from 1 species
UAUAGAUUUAAUUUCAGUUAUUUAAUUGGUUUAUUCAUUAAUUUACAUGGAUUUUUUUUAAUUUUUUUAGAUUCCAGUAGUUUAUAUUAAUUUAUUUAAGAUUAUUUUUGAAUUAGUAAUUGAAUUAUUAAUAGACAUAAAUUUGUGCCAGCAUUCGCGGUUAAACAAUUUAUUAUAAUCAAUUUUUUUUAGGUUUAGUUUACAUAUUUAUUAGAUUUUAUAUUUACUUAAUAUGUAUUUAGGUGGAAUUUAUACCUUAUUUUUAAUUUUAAUUAAAUUGUUUCUAAGAAAUUUUUUAUGAUAAACUAGGAUUAGAUACCCUAUUAUAAUUAAAUGUAAAAAUUAAUAAACUUUGAAUAAGUAUUAGUUACGUUCUUUAAAGCUCAAAAGAUUUGGCGGUAAAGUAUCUUUUUAGAGGAACCUGUUGAUUAAUUGAUAAACCACGAUGGUUCAUACUUUUUUCUUAUUUGUAUACCGCUAUAAUGAGGAAUGUUUUGUAAAAAAAUUUUCUUUUUCUAUUUAGAGAUUUAUAUUAGGUCAAGGUGCAGUUUUUAAAGAGGAUCUGUGGGUUACUUAAAUUUUUAAUUUGUAAGGAUAUCUUAAUGUUUUUAUGGUUGAAUAAGGAUUUAAAAGUAAAUUUGAAUUAACUAAUUUGUUUGAAUUAAGCACUAUUUUAUGUACAUAUCGCCCGUCACUCCUAAAUUACUUAGGAUAAGUCGUAACAAAGUAAUUUUACCGGAAGGUGAAGUUAGAAU